ensembl:lncRNA
AUGAAAAGACUCGGAGUGAACACAGACGUAGGUAUGAACUUAAACAAUCCAAAUAAUAACAUUUUGAAGAAGCAUAUAGAAGUUAGUAAAAAUAUAAGAAGACUUAGUUUUUUGAAUAAAAAUAAUGAAGAUAAUAAUAAUGUUAGUAGCGAAAAUAAAGGUAACAAAGUAAAAAUAAAAGAAAUAAAUGACGUGUUUAAAAAUUGUAUGACAGCAUUAUCCCAUAAUAAAGUAUGUACGAGAAAUGCAUUUGACAUUAGAAUAAUUGAACAUUUAGAGGAUUUAGUUAAUCUAAAUGAUGAGGAAAUAAAUGAAGAAUUAAAUAAAGAAUUAGUAGAAAGUGGUGAAGUUAAUUUAUCAUUUACUAGAGCAUCAAAAGCUAUAGAAGGUGCUACAAAAGUAUAUGGAUAUAGAGUUGAAGCAAUAUAUGAUCAAACAUAUAAUUUUAUAUCUAAUAUGAAUAUAGUAAAACAAAGUGAAAUACAAGAAGAAGUAAUAGAUGAUGAUAAAAUAAAUGGAACAAGUGAAUUAACAACUAAAAGAAUGAAAAAAAGAAAAUUAGAAAUUUUUCAAGAAUCAUCAACAUUAGCAAAACCAUCUGACAUCACAAUGGAUAAUUUAGUUGUAUCAAAUAUAUCUGUUGAUACAUUUUUUUUAAAAUUAAAUGCUACUUAUGAUCAUAGCAUGUGUCAAAAUUAUUUGUUAAGUAACUUAGUUUUAAAUAAUGAUUUAUCAAUACAAUUUGAUGGGGAUAUAGAUGUAUGUGAGUAUAUAAUGAAAAAGAAAAAUGAAGAAAAGAUAAAGGAUGGUAAUGUUAAUACUUGUGUGGAGGGUGAUACUACUGUUAAUGUUGAUUUGGGAAGUAAAAAACGUAAAUCCCGUCGUGCAAGUGUUCUAAAUAAUCACAUAAAUAAAGUUCAGUAUGAUAAUGAAGAUAAUGACGAUAUGAUUCUAACCGAACGUUAUAAAGAACAGAUAUAUUUAAAUACAGAUGUAUUGAAAGAUAUACUAAAAAUUGAUAGUGAAAAUAGUAACGAAAGUUUAAAUAAUUUAAAUAUAUGUCCUGAAUUAAAUUAUUUCAAAGAAGAAGUAGAUAAAUAUAGAUUAAAAAAAAGUGAUUCUAAGAGUUAUGAUGAAAUAGAUGAUAGUAAUUAUGAUUUUAAUUUGAAUGGUGAUGAAGGACAACAGUCACAUAGGAGCAUAAAAAAAAUGAAUAAUUCAUCUGAAUAUGAAAAUAAAAAAGAUUUAAAUUUAGGUGAUAGUGGUAUGUUAUCUAUAGAUAUGAUGAAUGAAUUAGAAGAUAAUAAUAGUACAAUAAAAUGGUCAGAUAAGAAAACUUUAAAUAGUAGUAUGGGCCAUAGUAUGGGUCAUGGUGAUAAUUAUGCAGGUAACUCUGGUAAUACAAGUUUUGGGAAUAAUUUAGGUAUAGAUUACAAUCGAAUAGAAGAUUUGAAUAUAGAGAAUGUAAUGCAAGAGUCUAUGGCAUUUGAUAUGAUGAAUUUAAAUGAUUCUUUUGGAAAUAAUAUAAAUAUGUCACAAAAUACUUUUGCAUUAAAUGAACAACAUAAUAAUUCUUCAUCAAAAUAUCAUUUACCUGAAUUAAUAAAAAGUCAGGAAAAUAAUUUUAGUUUGUUAAAUCAUUCAUUAUCUGGUAAUUUUCAUUUGGGUAAUCAUCCUAUGGUGUCACCUAAAAGUCAAUCCAGUCAAUUACAAGGUCUGAAUUCACAACUUAGUGGAAUAACAAAAAAUAGUAUGAUAUCUAUUAUACCUGACGAUGAUGUGUUAUGGGAUCGUAAUAUUCUUACAUUUGAAAAUCGAAUUAAUGCAUUAGAUGCUCCAAAUAAUAAUAUUAAAUUUAAUUAUCAUUAUUAUAAUCCUAGUAAAUUAAUGGCACAUAGUAAUUUACGUAGUUUAUUUAUGGAUUUAGGUAAACCUAACAUUGAAAAAAAUAAGCAAUCACUUGUUAAUAAUAUUUUGUUACAAAAAAAGUUAAAAACAUCUUUUCAAGUAACAGAUAUAGAUUUUGAAAAUUUAUAUGUCGAAAUAAAUGAUGUAGAAUUAUCUAGUUACGAUUUAUGGAAAAAAGAAAAAAAAAAAUAUAUAUCUAAUGCUUUAUUUUCGAUUGAUCAUACUUCUUACAUUUUUGAAACAAAAGAUAAUUGUAUUCGUUGUAUUAAUACAGUUGUUGAUAAAAUAAUGAAAUUUACAAAGACAGUAGUUACAGAUUCACAAAGAAAUAGAUUUCAUGAAAAUAGUACCAAUGCUAUGACUAAUCAAUAUGAUAAUACAGAUGUACAUUUAAAUGUAGUACUAAAUGAUAUUAAUAAUGAUUUUAUUGGGAACGAUUUGGAUAUGACACAACUUGGAGAAAAUAAAAAUGGUACUAGUAUGUAUGCAGAAAAUAUGGAUGAUAUGCAAGACAUUGAAUUACAGGGUGAUUUUAAUGAUGCGAUAGAUAAAUAUUAUAAUAUGGAUUUUGAGGAUGUUUGGGAAAAUGAUAAUAAAAAAGAUUUAUCAAAAGAAGAAAGUAAUAAAAUUGAACAUAGUGCUAUGCUUCAGUUGCAAAAAAGUGGUUCACGUUCUAAUUCAAUGGCACAUGCGAAUUUUGAAAGUUUAUCUAAAUUUGUCGAUGUGUCAAAGGUAAAAAAGAUACUUUGUGAUGUGGUUAAGCCGGAUGAAAAUGAUUCUCAAAACAGUUCAGAUCAGAAAGACGAGUGUAUGCGAAAUGGCCAGGUGGGCGUUUUUGUACCUUUUUUUUUUCCGCGUUUAUGGGUGUGUAUGGGGUGUGUGUUACAUGACUAA